rnacentral:tRNA from 1 species
AAAACCCUAUGCUGGAACGGGUAGCAGUGGGAUCUCAAUCCUCUAUUAUCCACAUCAGGCAGCUGAAGCUCUGACG